GAUCCUGGCUCAGGAUGAACGCUAGCGACAGGCUUAACACAUGCAAGUCGAGGGGCAGCGAGGAAGUGGCAACACUUCUGUCGGCGACCGGCGCACGGGUGAGUAACGCGUAUGCAACCUGCCCUUCACAGGGGGAUAACCGGGAGAAAAUUCCGACUAAUACCGCAUACGUCCUCCGGGGGCGAUCCCACGGGGGGAGUGAAAGAAUUAUCGGUGAAGGAUGGGGCCGAUGCGUGAUAUUAGGUAGUUGGCGGGGCG
rnacentral:rRNA from 1 species